UUUGUUACUUAAUAGUAGGCUAGUAUUUGACUAAAACUGCAUAAAUCAAAUCUUAAUCAUAGAUGUACCGAUUGUAAAUAAUUUUUUUUGCUGACGAAGUCUUUUCUAACUUUUGGGGUAAGACUACUAACUAAGUAGCCUACAUUGAAAUUAGUGCUAGUACAGUAGAAGUGGUCUUGGCGUCGGGUAAUCGAUAUGAAAACAAGUCUACAUUAUAAUUAGGCCUAGAUAUCUACCUAGUCCGACUUCAUUUCAAGCAUUUUAUUUAUACCCCUUAAGUUGUAGUAGUGACAGUUUAACUACAAGUAAGUACAACAGCAACCAACAGGGGGUCACAGUAUCGUGACUCGUGGACUUGUCAGGAGUAUAACUUGAGCCUGAGAAUGAUCAAUGAGGUACACACAAAUGGAUAAGUCUGAUAAUCAGUUAAUAAAUCAGAUGUAACUUGUAAAUAAAGGCACUGUAUGACAGUGUAUGUAGGCCUACAUAUGAUAUAUAUUCUAAAUACUAAUAAAUAGGCCUAGUAGUAUUGUUUUAUUAAUAUUACCUAUUUAUUAAUUAAUAGGGUUUCAGGUCAAACUCAAAGUUUCAAAUGAUCAAAACGCUCUAUAUACCAGUCAAUGCGUGGGAUGGCACCAAAAUAAGUGCUUUUCUGUCAUAUUUGAGUGACGUCAUGAGUCAUAAGCGUGUUCAUCAAUAGUGGUUUUGAUUUUUCACUUGGAUUGGUGGAAGAAGGUACCAUACAAUACUAUACUACUGUACUGUGUUAGAUUGUUCAGCGUAAAUUGGUUUCAAAGACCUUUCCAGUACGCCACGGUAUUCAGUAUAAUCUAAGGAAAUUAAAACAGAAGAAAAGUAUAGAAAAUAUUUCCAAUUAUCUAUCUUGAGAUCACAGAGAUUGAAUGCUGCAGGUCUUGUGUUUAGUGUAUAGACUAAUUGGUGGAUGUUAUUAACAUUAACCUUUUAGCAAAGGUUAGCUUGAUGAUGUUACUAACUUUGCAGUGUAGUGGAAGAUGUUAACCUAACUUUGGUAGACAACAAGCCUAACCCUGAAGUCAACGAUGUACAAUAUGUCAGUGUCACGGUUCCACUACCAAACGUAACGCGAAUAUAAACAAUACUUAAGUACGGGUACAUGUAUUUACUUUGAUU